CACCACUCAAGCCUAGCUUGGUGUUGGGGCACCCGGCCGCCUAGUGGUGCGGGGCCCCCAAGUCCAUCGGCGGGCUCGUCGGGACCCUGAGCGCAGUAACACGCGGUAAAACGCGCCCUCGCUCGGAGGCUCCAGGCGGGUUCUUGCCGUUAAACCCCCUAAUUUUCUUA
rnacentral:misc_RNA from 1 species